GACGAACGCUGGCGGCGUGCUUAACACAUGCAAGUCGAACGGAAAGGCCCCUUUGGGGGUACUCGAGUGGCGAACGGGUGAGUAACACGUGAGUAACCUGCCCUUGACUUCGGGAUAACUUCAGGAAACUGGGGCUAAUACCGGAUAGGAAUCCUUGCUGCAUGGUGGGGGUUGGAAAGCCUCGGCGGUUUUGGAUGGACUCGCGGCUUAUCAGCUUGUUGGUGGGGUAGUGGCUUACCAAGGCUUUGACGGGUAGCCGGCCUGAGAGGGCGACCGGCCACAUUGGGACUGGGAUACGGCCCAGACUCCUACGGGGGGCAGCAGUGGGGAAUAUUGCACAAUGGGCGGAAGCCUGAUGCAGCAACGCCGCGGGCGGGAUGACGGCCUUCGGGUUGGAAACCGCUUUCAGCAGGGGCGAAGCUUGUGGUGACGGUACCUGCAGAAGAAGCACCGGCUAACUACGUG
rnacentral:rRNA from 1 species